UAAUACAUGCAAGUAGAACGCUGAGAACUGGUGCUUGCACCGGUUCAAGGAGUUGCGAACGGGUGAGUAACGCGUAGGUAACCUACCUCAUAGCGGGGGAUAACUAUUGGAAACGAUAGCUAAUACCGCAUAAGAGAGACUAACGCAUGUUAGUAAUUUAAAAGGGGCAAUUGCUCCACUAUGAGAUGGACCUGCGUUGUAUUAGCUAGUUGGUGAGGUAAAGGCUCACCAAGGCGACGAUACAUAGCCGACCUGAGAGGGUGAUCGGCCACACUGGGACUGAGACACGGCCCAGACUCCUACGGGAGGCAGCAGUAGGGAAUCUUCGGCAAUGGGGGCAACCCUGACCGAGCUACGCCGCGUGAGUGAAGAAGGUUUUCGGAUCGUAAAGCUCUGUUGUUAGAGAAGAAUGAUGGUGGGAGUGGAAAAUCCACCAAGUGACGGUAACUAACCAGAAAGGGACGGCUAACUACGUGCCAGCAGCCGCGGUAAUACGUAGGUCCCGAGCGUUGUCCGGAUUUAUUGGGCGUAAAGCGAGCGCAGUCGGUUUUUUAAGUCUGAAGUUAAAGGCAUUGGCUCAACCAAUGUACGCUUUGGAAACUGGAGAACUUGAGUGCAGAAGGGGAGAGUGGAAUUCCAUGUGUAGCGGUGAAAUGCGUAGAUAUAUGGAGGAACACCGGUGGCGAAAGCGGCUCUCUGGUCUGUAACUGACGCUGAGGCUCGAAAGCGUGGGGAGCAAACAG
rnacentral:rRNA from 1 species